AGAGAAUUGAACGGCGGCCCCGCACAACGCGGGUGGAUGAUGUGAAUUAAUUCGAUGCAAACGCGAAAAACCUUACCUACCCUUGACAUGUCUGGAAAGCCGAAGAGAUUUGGCCGUGCUCGCAAGAGAACCGGAACACAGGUGCUGCAUGGCUGUCGUCAGCUCGUGUCGUGAAUGUUGGGUUAAGUCCCGCAACGAGCGCAACCCUUGUCAUUAGUUGCUACGCAAGAGCACUCUAAUGAGACUGCCGGUGACAAACCGGAGGAAGGUGGGGAUGACGUCAAGUCCUCAUGGCCCUUAUGGGUAGGGCUUCACACGUCAUACAAUGGUCGGGACAGAGGGUCGCCAACCCGCGAGGGGGAGCCAAUCUCAGAAACCCGAUCGUAGUCCGGAUCGCAGUCUGCAACUCGACUGCGUGAAGUCGGAAUCGCUAGUAAUCGCGAUCAGAAGACGUCGGAACGCAAA
rnacentral:rRNA from 1 species